GUACAUGUGUAAGUUGUAUGUGCAUUUCUAUUUUCUAGAAAGACAUGUGUAAGUUGUUAACAUUUUUUCAGAGUUUCAACAGUCUUCAAUUAUGAGAGUGAAGACUGGGAAUGAAGAUAUUAGAACCGUAACCAAGGAUGCCCGCUUUGUGCAGGUUUGUAGAGAAAACAACCAUGGGUCUAGAAGAAUGCUAUUCACAUCGAUAUAACUCUAAGCCGGCCGAGAUCUACUCCUGUUAUUUAUUUCAUGAUUAAUAUGGAUUUUUGGGUUUUUAAGCUGCUGGUAAAUAUCCUUACUUUCCUGGCCAAGAACCCACUUUGCCUGGGGAUAUCGAUUUGUUGCUUCAGGGGGAAACAAGCUCACUGGGAGAGAAAAUUUCUUUGUCUGCAUUAGGGAAAACUAGUGAAUACAACAUGCUAUAAAUGCCAAGAGCAGUUGCUAUUCUCCAUCACUUCCAUAUACUCUGGUUUAGCUAGUCUAAAGCAACCUGUGUUAUCUCUUCCCCCCCCCCCCCGCCCAGCUUAC